AUGUCAGCCUCUUUGCUCCCUCAGACUGGACACCCAGCUACCCUUGGGAGCCCACAACCUGGAGACAGGCUAUGCCCUGAUGCUGGCAGCAGUCCUAGUGAUGCAGCCCCCCAUCAGGCCUUGGAGCCUGUAAAGAGCCAACUGGUUUCAGCUGGGAGGAGGACAAACUGGGACCAGAUCCAUCCCACCUCCUUAGCUGCCCAGAGACUCAGGACCCGAAGCCUUCCACUGACCCAGCCCCCCAUCCUGGGCCUGCUGUUACUGCUGCUGCUGCUCUUUGCUCUCGUCCUGGCCUUCUCUCGGCCUCUGGCCUGGCCCCACCUCCAACUGAGUUACCGCCAGCCCCCACCAGUGUGAACCCCCAGCACAGUUUCUGACCCAAUAAACUGCCUCCAUGCCCCCA
rnacentral:lncRNA from 1 species